CACAGAACCAGGAUAGUUCAAUUUACAAAUAAAAAUCUUUUUUGAGUUAUUUUGUAAGUACGCUAGUAAUUUUUGAUAAUCUUAUUUUUACACUAAAAACAUAUGUACAGCUGAGUAAAAUGUUCAUUUUAAAAACCUGUACAUUUUUACACUGAUAUACUAUUUCUAAUAGAUAGUGUCAUUUUUAUUUCUCUAAGAACCUUGUGUUGACAAAUUACUUUAAAUAUGUUAAUAAGUAAUCUGUACAGUAAAAACCAAGUAGAUACUGAAUCUGUAGUGAACCCUAAGUGGAAAAUGUAUCUGUACAGUGAAAUCACAGUGGAUUGAUAUCUUUACAGUGAAAUUACAGUGGAUUGAUAUCUUUACAGUGAAAUUACAGUGGAUUGAUAUCUUUACAGUGAAAUCACAGUGGAUUGAUAUCUUUACAGUGCAUUCAUAUGAGAUACUGUAUUUGUAGUGAAAUCAGUGAAUACUGUAUCUGUACAGUGAAAUCACAGUGGAUACCGUAUCUGUACAGUGAAAUCACAGUGUAUACCGUAUCUGUACAGUGAAAUCACAGUGGAUACCGUAUUUGUACAGUGAAAUCACAGUGGAUACCGUAUCUGUACAGUGAAAUCAGUGUAUACCGUAUUUGUACAGUGAAAUCACAGUGUAUACCGUAUUUGUACAGUGAAAUCACAGUGUAUACCGUAUUUGUACAGUGAAAUCACAGUGGAUACCAUUUGCGUACAGUGAAAUCACAGUGGAUACUGUAUGUGUACAGUGAAAUUGAGCAUUAAAUUCAUAUGAAUCAAUAGCUGCACUAACAUCCAUUAAAUAAGAACAUACACAAUGAAAUGUGUUGGUAAGAUUUUCAUCAACUUUUAAAUAAAGAUUUGUCUAAGCAUGCAACCACUGGAUUUAUCUGUAUACAAUCUAUCCAUUUAAAACCCUAAUAUAUAUAUUAUUUAGUUAAUUAUCCUUUCAAAAAUUAAAACUGUUCACAAUUUUUUAAAAGCACUUAUAAAACAUGAGACAAUCACAGAAUUGACACAUCAAUUGUAGUUGUAUACAAAAACCAACCUAAAUUCUUUAAGAUGAAAACCAUUUAAAAGAAAAACAGAAAAAGAAACAUAGUGACAAAUGCCUUGAUAGAUUGCAGUCUUUUACUAGAAAUUGAGACAUUUGGUGUCAAAUAACACUCAAUUAUAUUACUUUAACCAGGAAAAAUGCAACGUUGUGUAAUGGAGAUCAAACAAAGACAAGCCUGUAUUUUUAUAAUUAAACAAAUGUGUAUGUCUUCCUUCUAUGUAAACCAGCAAGCUUAAAAUAUACCAUGUAUUUCAAAAUAUUUUCAUUAACAGUCUUUUAUCACAAUCAACAUCUGUUUUCCUCAUCACAUUUUCAUCAACACUGUUAUUUACCUAAAUCACUUCAAUGCCAUCAACUAACAAAUAAACAAAUCCUUGCAUACUAGUACAUAUUACCCAAGCACUUUAUAACCAUAUCACAGUAUUAUACAUUAAAUAAGAAAUGUUAGUUAUCUACACUGGACUAAGUUACCUGGGGGAGACAAUCUAUGUGUUGAUUCUGAUGAUUACUCACUUCAUUUUAAAUAUAAGUAUCAAAACUUAUAAAUUAACAAUAGUAUGGAAUUUAAAACAACUGACUUUGAUAGUACUUACUGUAUUCUUUCUAGAAAUGGAAUUUUUGAUAUAAAUGUGAAGUGUAUCCUUGAAGCAAAAAUUAACCUUAACUAAAUGGUGGCACAAAAUCUGGUUUUGAUAUUCUAAACAUGUAACAUGGAAAAUGUCUGAACAGGUUACAAAAAUUGUGUAAUUAUGUUCAAAGUUAAAUUAGCCAUUUACUCAUUGUAACAGAUAGUAUUUACAUCAUAUAAUAAUAAUUGGGACUACAUUUGGCCAAUGUUUAUGAUUUAAUGAAAUUACCAAGUUUACUGAUAUAUAUCAAAUCAGACACUAGGAAUAACUUGGAAUCGAAACUAAUAAUCAUCAUCACGAAAAAAAAAGUAGGAUCUUUUAUGGAAGAUCUUUACAUAAUUUUACACUAACAGUAGGAUUAUAAACUGUUUGUCAAAAUUAUUAAUACUUUCAAAUGCCUAGUGUCUGGAAAUGGCCGGUAAAUGAAGGGUUAGAUUUCCAUAAUUAUUGUUAAUGGAUGGCCUCCUAUAUAUUUAUCACCUCUCAAAUAGUGAUUUCUUUUUCUCAAUACUCAUCAUAAAUACUCUUAGUAAAAUUUUGUACACCAGCCUUUCGUUUCAAGACUCAUCAGUGAUACUUGAAUCAAAAAGGUUAAAAAGGCCAAAUAAAGUAGAUAUUUACCUUGUGUACAUAUUAACAAUGUAAUUCCUACAGUAUAAUUAUGUGGAUUAGGUCGCAAGGAAAAUCAUUUUACCCACUGAUAUAUCAUAUGCAGAAAAAAAUUAUCAAUGUAAACCAAGGGUACAUUAUAAUGAAACAAAAAUAUCAAUGUGAACAAGAAGUGCCAUCUUGAACAUUCAACACGACUUCUUACAUUUUGUCUGCCAUAACCGAGUACAAAUACAUACAAAUAUUACAUAUAAAACUAAAAACAUUACAAAACCUCUUGAGGACAUAUGUUUAUCUGAAUGUAGUGUUGUCUGCCAUUUUAAAGUUUUAGUUUCAUGGCAUGAUCACAAGACAAACAUGACUACAUGUAUUCCUUAAUAUAUCUAGAAUUAUUCAUUGUUUAAAUUAAGACAAGAGUGCACACGCUGAAAUGUCUCGCCUUCUAUACUAAUCAUUGAUAUUAUGUUGAUAGUC
rnacentral:lncRNA from 1 species